CUCCCCCUGGCCUCUGGGGUGCCCCUAACUGGGAUCCCUGCCAUGCACAUGACAGAUUCCCCCUGCGGCCUGACUGUGGCUCCAGGUUUCCAGAGAGGGUCCCCAGCCCGGCAGGACCCCCGUUCAGGUCCUAAGUCAUUUGUCGGCCAUGCUCUGUCCCCAGAACCGCAGCAAGGGGGGCGCUGUGAGCAAGCUGAUGGAGAGCAUGGCAGCCGAGGAGGACUUUGAACCCAACCAAGACUCGAGCUUCUCUGAGGACGAGCACCUGCCGCGUGGUGGGGCUGUGGAGCGGCUGCUGACCCUGGCCCCUCGCUCCUGCAUCAUCGACAAGGACGAGCUGAAGGACGGCCUGCGUGUGCUCAUCCCCAUGGACGACAAGCUGCUGUAGGCUGGGCACGUGCAGACCGUGCACUCGCCAGACAUAUACCGCGUGGUGGUGGAGGGUGAGCGUGGGAACCGGCCCCACAUCUACUGUCUGGAGCAGUUGCUGCAGGAGGUGGUGAGAGGGGGAGGGGUGGGGCCUCGGGAGGCUUGGGGUGGGCUGGGUGUCCAAGGCCACGGCCACAACUGUGUCCACACCUUGGACUCAUCCCAUGCCCUCCUAGAUCAUCGAUGUGAGGCCAGCUGCCACUCGCUUCUUGCCACAAGGGACCAGGAUUGCAGCCUACUGGAGCCAGCAUGGUCCGAGGUGCUGAGCCAUCCCCGGCCCUCCUGGUGCCAAGUGCCAAGCGCCGCAGCCGGAAGACCAGCAAAGACACUGGGGAGGGCAAAGAUGGUGGCACGGCUGGGUCGGAGGAGCCAGGAGCCAAGGCCCGUGGGAGUGGGUGGAAACCCAGUGCCAAGGCCAGGGGUGGCCCGGUCCCCAGGGCAGGGGCGGUGGGCGGAGCUCCUUCGUGCAUCCAAACUCCGGGCUUGGGAACCUGUCGAAGUGCCUGCCUGCUGUCUGUAAGAACUCUGAGCCGAGUGCGGUGCCUCACACCUGUAAUCCCAGCGCUUUGGGAGGCCAAGGCGAGCAGAUCGCCUGAUGUCAGGAGUUCAAGACCAGUCUGGCCAACGUGGUGAAACCCCGUCUCUACUAAAAAUAUAAAAAUUAGCCGGGCAUGGUGGUGAGUGCCUGUAAUCCCAACUACGUGGGAGGCUGAGGCAGGAGAAUCGCUUGAACCUGGGAGCUGGAGGUUGCAGUGAGCCAAGAUCGUGCCAUUACACUCCAGCCUGGGCAACAAGAGCGAAACUCCAUCUCAAAAAAAAAAAAGAGAGAGAGAGAACUCUGCACCUGCACUGCAGGGCCGUUCUGACCAGGUGAUAGAUGAGGAAACUGAGGCUGAGGGAGGCAGGUUGGUUUGUCAGAGGCAGAGCUGAGCUGCAGCUGGCCUGUGUUUCUUUCCAGAAUCCAGAGAAAAAUGCUUCGUGCAGGCUGAAAAG
rnacentral:lncRNA from 1 species